rnacentral:rRNA from 1 species
AAUCAGGUAGGANUACCCGCUGAANUUAAGCAUAUCAAUAAGCGGAGGAAAAGAAACUAACAAGGAUUCCCCUAGUAACGGCGAGUGAAGCGGGAAGAGCUCAAAUUUGAAAUCUGGCGUGCGUCGGCGCGUCCGAGUUGUAAUCUAUAGAAACGUCUUCCGUGCCGGACCGCGUCCAAGUCCCUUGGAACAGGGUAUCAAAGAGGGUGACAAUCCCGUGCUUGAUGCGACGACCGGUGCCAUGUGAUACGUUCUCUACGAGUCGAGUUGUUUGGGAAUGCAGCUCAAAACGGGUGGUAAAUUCCAUCUAAGGCUAAAUAUUGGCGAGAGACCGAUAGCGAACAAGUACCGUGAGGGAAAGAUGAAAAGCACUUUGGAAAGAGAGUUAAACAGUAUGUGAAAUUGUUGAAAGGGAAACGAUUGAAGUCAGUCG